UACGUAGGGGGCAAGCGUUGUCCGGAAUCAUUGGGCGUAAAGCGCGCGUAGGCGGCCCGAUAAGUCCGCUGUAAAAGUCCAGGGCUCAACCCUGGAAAGCCGGUGGAUACUGUCGGGCUAGAGUCCGGAAGAGGCGAGUGGAAUUCCUGGUGUAGCGGUGAAAUGCGCAGAUAUCGGGAGGAACACCGGUGGCGAAGGCGGUUCUCUGGGCCUGUACUGACGCUGAGGAGCGAAAGCGUGGGGAGCAAACAGG
rnacentral:rRNA from 1 species